CAGCAGCCGCGGGAAUACGUAGGUGGCAAGCGUUGUCCCGAAUUAUUGGGCGUAAAGGGCUCGCAGGCGGUUUCUUAAGUCUGAUGUGAAAGCCCCCGGCUCAACCGGGGAGGGUCAUUGGGAACUGGGAAACUUGAGUGCAGAAGAGGAGAGUGGAAUUCCACGUGUAGCGGUGAAAUGCGCAGAGAUGUGGAGGAACACCAGUGGCGAAGGCGACUCUCUGGUCUGAAACUGACGCUGAGGAGCGAAAGCGUGGGGAGCGAACAGGAUUAGAUACCCCCGUAGUCCCUGUCUCUUAUAC
rnacentral:rRNA from 1 species